rnacentral:lncRNA from 1 species
GCUGAUGUUGGAAUGCUUUUCUCAGGACUGGCUUCCCUCCAUCUUCCUCCACUUCAAUCUCACAGGUAGGCUCCAGGUGCGGCAUUGGCCUCUCCUCAUCUGAGUUGUCAAAGGGCUCAUUCAGUACUUCUGUCGUCUCAGAAAUGGUCUCAGUUGUUACACUGCUGUUGAUCCUCCUGCGUUUACGACCCCUUUUCUUCUUUAGUACAAAAGGCCGCUGAAAUUAAUUCCAAACAAUACAUAAGAGCUCAUGAGAAAUUAAAUGGUUGAGUUGAUAUGCAGCAAACAUGUACUGAAGGCAUGUCUCAGAAUCUUACACGUAAAGACUUCUGUAAUGCCUUUGUACUUAACCUUCCAUUUGAUGUUUAACAUCCCUCUCGGGCUCCAACUACACAGGCAAGUGUUUUCCAAAUAAAACAGUUGUUUACUCAAGAAGAUGCUUUGAGAGGGAACAUCACCGCAGCUGAACUGUAAACUUUAAAAAGCUAAGGUUUGCUUUUCUAGAAUAUAUUUUCCUAUGGUACUUGCAGACUUCAAUAUUCUACAUUAUGGCUAUUAAGUCCUCAUGGACACAAAUGUUUCCAUAAAUGUUGCAAUAACCAACUAGCCACUGGGUCACUCAUUUAAUACUUGAUAACUGUUCAAGGAGCACCUUCUCUAUGCAAAAUGCUACAGGAAGUUUGAUGGCAUACAAGGUUAACCUAAUUGUUCCUUAUUUCAUAAGACUUCAGGAACAAUGAAAAGGGAAGAAGAUAGGGUACUAGAAGAAAGGAUUAUUUAAUGUUUAAAAUGUUAAGAGAGUCAUGUAUUGGUGACUACAGGGAUGUCAGCAACUGACAACUUUAUAAAGUAUUUUAUUAUACAAGGCAUCUAAAAAAUUAAAAGAUGUGAAAUCUGUCCUAUUUAUAGAAGAUACGAAAAUUUUUUUUCUGACUGUACUACAGAUUGGUAGCAAUUAUAAAAUACUUUUGCCCAUGCAAAAAAGCAUUUAAUGAAACAAAAUUAAAAUAUAGGAAUAACAGAUUUGCUGCUUAAAUGGAAUGUGUCAAUAGUGGGCCUGAAAAAUUAUUUAAAAUAUAUUGCAAAGAAGGUUCAAUAUGCUUGGUUAAAACUCAAACUCUUACGGUGCCUGGGUGGCUCAGUCAGUUAAGUGUCCCGACUCUUGAUUUCGGCUCAGGUCAUGAUCUCACGCACGGUUCAUGAGAUUGAGCCCCAUGCACUGGGCAUGGAGCCUACUUGAGUUUCUUUCCUUCUCUCUAUGCCCCUCCCUUGCUCACAUAUUCUUUCUCUCUGUUUCUCUCUAAAGAACAACAACAACAACAACAACAACAACAAAAACUCAAAGUCUAAGUAAACUGUAUCCAAGAAUUACUGUUGCUCACAUUAACUCUCUGAAUGUUCACGUAUAAACCUGAUAAUCAUAUUCUGUAAUUAACAUUUAUGGUUAUUAACACUCCCAGUUGGCCUGCCCUCCCUAACUCACUAAUUUUCCCAAACGUGAGUACAACCAAUGUAAAGAACUAGUUUUCUUUAUUUUUUUAAUGUUUGUUUAUUUUUGAGACAGACACAGAGCGUGAGCAGGGGAGGGGCAGAGAGAGACGGGGAGACACAGAAUCUGAAGCUGGCUCCAGGCUCUGAGCUGUCAGCACAGAGCCUGAUGCGGGGCUUGAACACAUGAACCGCAAGAUCACGACCCAAGCCGAAAAGUCAGACGCUUAACUGACUGAGCCACCCAGGCACCCCAAAGAACUAGUUUUCUUUAAAUUGAAUCAAUUUAUAUGAUGGGAGUCCAUAUCGUACCUUGGAUAAUCCUGGUUUUGUUGUUUUUAAAACAGAUUUCUUUUGUAGUAUACAUAAUACCUGAAUAAAUUUGUCUGGUAAGAAAUCCAAGAUUACUCACAAGUCUGAAGUUUACUUUAUGGAGAGCUCUUUUCUACCCCUUCCCCACAGCUGCCCUUCCAUUAAAAGACUAUCAGGCUUAGAAGAAAGCGCACCAAGCUGGGAUUUACAACAGCAGGUACUUUGACGCACAGUACAUAGGAUGGCCUUGGGGCGGAGCUGCAACUUGUGUUAUUUCUGUAAGUCUUAGCUAUACUAAUAAUAUCUGGUUCCUUACUAUGUCACAGAUAGAUACUGAAGACAAAAAUAUCAGAUCUGGGUGGGGCGCCUGGGUGGCGCAGUCGGUUAAGCGUCCGACUUCAGCCAGGUCACGAUCUCGCGGUCCGUGAGUUCGAGCCCCGCGUCGGGCUCUGGGCUGAUGGCUCAGAGCCUGGAGCCUGUUUCCGAUUCUGUGUCUCCCUCUCUCUCUGCCCCUCCCUCGUUCGUGCUCUGUCUCUCUCUGUCCCAAAAAUAAAAUAAAAAAACGUUGAAAAAAAAAAAAUAAAAUCAUCUUUAAAAAAAAAAAAAAAAAAAAAUCAGAUCUGGGUUAAACAAUCACCUAAAGACAAGAUCAAUUUUUUACCUUGUGCACAAGGUAUAUCUACAGUGACCACCAGGCUAUGAGCAAUUGUGUACUUGGCCACCAAUGCAAAACAUCAGCAUCAGUAUGGAGAGCCUGAAGUACCUUCUAACAAUUCUAUGCGAAGAACAAGAAAAAUAUUAAUAUUUUUCUGAUAAUAUUUUUCUUGUUCUUCGCAUAGAAUUGUUAGAAUAUUAUAAUAUAAUGUUAUCUAUCUACAUAAUAUAGAAUAAAUUUAUUUAUAUCUAUAUAAUAUAAAAUAAUAUAAUCUAUAUAAUAUAGAAUAUUAUGAUAAGAAAUAAUAUUAUCAGGAGUGCUGGGGUUGGAGUCUGAGCACUGAUCUGGCUCUAGCUCCAUCUCUGUGGAGCUGUAUGACCUUGGACAAGUCUCCUAGCCUUCCUAGGCUUUGCUGUUUUCAUCAAAACACACUGAAGGGUGGUUGAAGUGCUCUCCAGGGUCCUUUUCUGUUCGCAUAGCCUGACUUCUCUAGUCCCACAAACCAGCAGGUGGCAGUAACUACUAGACUAGGAAGCCCGCCUGUCCCUCCUUUAACAAAACAGCACUAACCUCAAAAAGUAAACACAAUCAUGACUGUAAGAUAAAGGAUGAUGAUAUAUGAUCAGCAGGACUCAAUACAGACUACUUCUAAAGAAUAGAGAGUGAAACAAAUACUAAUAGAAUGUUUGCAAUGACAAAUAAGAUUUGAUUGAAACUGACUCACUGAAAAUCUAAACACACAUACCUUUCUCUUUAUAGCAACUGAUUGUGGUUUAGUCAAUCUUGGAGGAGAACUCUGAAUAUUUUCUUCUUCCUCCUCCUCUUCCUCCUCUUCCUCUUCUUCCUCCUCCUCUUCCUCCUCCUCCUCCUCUUCCUCUUCCUCCUCCUCCUCCUCCUCUUCCUCCUCCUCCUCCUCCUCUUCCUCCUCCUCCUCCUCUUCACUGCUCUCUUUAGACAGCUCCAUAAGCUGCCCUCGCUCCCCUGCCACUGGCCGGCUCUCCGGGGAAUGCAAAUAUUUAUUUUUCGAUUGUACUUUUGCAGGUGAUUGCCUACUGUUCGCUCUAGAGGACAGGAUUUCUUGCUCCUCCUUUUCCCAGCAGCUAGCUUGUUCCAUUAGCCGCUCGGCCUAAGGGGGGGGGGGGGGGGAGGGUAAAAAUGGUGGGCCAGUGAAAGGGCAGUUAAGACAGCCUCUAAGGAUCAAAGGCAAAGGAUCUCUUAAGUUGUUUCUGAACAGAACAGUCAGCCAGCCAAGCAACAUUCCAGCUGCAUCAUCUCAGGACUCUUUUGCAUCAGUUAGGAUAACAAAUCAAAGAAGAUUGGGUUUCAUGGGAUAUUUAGCAGUAUUAAUGAUGCAGCGAAUUGAUUUGAGUCCUUUAUCACUACAUUACAUGCUCACUGGCAUGGAGCACUUUAAGCAAGUUCAUAAACACAAAGAAUCGAUUGACAUUGCAGCCUUGGAGCUCAGCACCAAAUGUGAUCUGAUUACAUGCUGUCAGUAGUGAAAAAUGCUGCUUUGUGAUCAAUGAUAAAUGUUUCAUUUUUCAUACUCAAUUCAAUAAAAUUAUCAUGUCUUACCAUGCAACCUCAGUUAGGAUAAAUUAGUGCCAUAUCAUUUCACAAGCUCUUUCUACAUAACCAAGCCUUUGACAACGAUGUUAAUGACUUUCUCAGCCUAAGAAUGCUGCAGGAGUGAAGUCACACAACUUAGGCAGACGAAGUCAAUCAUUACCUCUUUCUCAGCUUCGCGCUCUUCUUCAGAAACUGCAGCAUUAGAAAUUAAAAUUGGGGUCCAUCUUAGACUCUCUGGAUCAAGUUCAUUGGUCCGGGAACAGGUUUUCAGCUUUUCCAUGUGGCCCAGUAUCAACUUUUCCCUUCUAAUGAUGACAAAUCUGUAAUGUGAUGAGGCAGAACAAAGUGCAAUCAAAAGCUGAAAUUUCAUUUCACCUACACACGUUGACAAAUGCUACUAGGUUAGGAAAAAUCGGAGAGCUCAUCAAUGAAAAAAUAUAGCAAAUUGAAAUCUGACCAGCAAAACAGUAUCAUUUCCUGUUUUCUGUUUAGGAGAAAGGUUUUGAUAAUACCUUUGGGGGAACCUCUUAUCUUAAACUGGAAUGAGGCCACCUAACUCCUGGGACACUUUCUGGUGUAAGAUGCUUGAGAGGCAGCCAGUGAUGCCCCGGCAUCGGUACUCACCUGCCAUCCCUCUUGUCAAUCAUAUGGAGGUGCUGCAGAGUGGUGGCGAUGUCAUGUGGGCACAUGCCUGUAGCUCUGCUGAUCGCCUUGAUGCUGAUGUGCCUCUCCUGGUGGUGGUAGAGAUAUUCUAAGAUGACACUCUUCCAAUAGGCCAGGUAGGAGAGACGGCCCAGAUCGGAGAGUGGCUUUUCAGGAGACCCUGCUUGGCCUUCUCUUCUAGAAAGCAAAUAGCCUAGGGCAGAAAAAGCCAAAGAUGACUUCACCGUGGUGUUUUUAGACAUUGGGAUAGGGGCCCCUCAAAAUAAUAUAAGUAGCAAUAAGGUAAAAACAUCACAUCAAACUUUAUGUAUGCAGUCUCUUCCCAGUUAUAGUGAUUUGAUCUCCAUGAAGUUUAUGCUUAUGAAUCCUUUACAGUAGCACCGUAAGUCAAUUCACAUUGCUAGAGGCUGCAUUUCAAAUAUACGUCAUGGCAUAUUUAACAAAGCUAAGGUUGAGGACGUUACUUCUGAUAAAUUUCAACAUCCAAGUUUCCCACCAGCUUUAGAUUUUCUCAAAAUCGAAAUGUCAGGCACUUAGAAAUCCUGUCAAGGGACCACCCUAAACAUUAAUGGGCAAGUUGUUUUCCACAGGAAGGACCUAAUGACCCUUUGACAGCUGGAUCUUAAUAAAAGAGAAGGGUCUCUGUUGACUCAGAUUCUAUAUUGCUUGUUACAUUUAACUAGCCGGCUGAUCUGAAGCUUUGUUUUAGGACUAAUAAAAGAAUGUCUUUUAAGUCGACUGCUGCAACUCACAUCAGCUCUACUAGCUCUAUUUUCACCUCUUUCAUGUAAAUUAAUUUAUAAUCCAACCCCAGAAUGUUGCUCCCACAAAUUAAAACAAAACAACCUCCUUAAAACAAACUGUUUUAUGUAUACUCAGGAAAUCCCCGAGCAUGGUAAGCUUCUGAAUAUGCGUUCUGCAGCAUUACUGUGAAGGUUCUUGGCAAAGGGAUUUUUUAAAUGAUUUAAAACUUUAAAUCCACUUGAAGGUAAUGAAUGAAAGCUGGCGGCUGUCUUGGUAAUUAAGAGCCACUUAUGGAGUAGAGAAGGAAUGCUGUAAACUAAUGAUGUCUACCUUGCUCUAAUUAUCAAUUUCAAUAGCCUCACCUUCAUGAACUUCCUAAAUUUAAACAAACAUCAACCACAUACAGUAGGUGGCAGCAAUUACAAAAUCAUGCUGCUCUGUAAACCACCCAAAUCUUCAGCAUUUUUCUUCUUUAUCUACAUUUCCAAAAUGGCUGCAUUCUCAAGAAUUUUCUCAAUUUUGGAUUUUUUCUUAGAAGGACAAAAUCAAGCCUCUGAUGCAUUUUCCUAUCCCUCAAAAUCACUGUAAAUAAUGCAGAAAUAUAGAACAAGAAACCCAAACUGACCUACACCCUAUAGGGGUGUAACCACAGCAUUUUGCAUUUUGAUGGUUUUAAUCUGAAUGCCAUGAUAAAGAAUAAGCACACAUUUAACUUUAGGCUUUCCUGCAGUCUUUUGACUUAUUUGUCUCUUUAACUCAUGCUUAAGAGUAAUGUAUUUGAUUGAAUGGUAAACAAGCACCACCAAAUUUUACAGUCAAACCACUGUCGACACGUCAUUCAGCUGCAUCCAGAGGCUUUCAAGAGCAGUGUGUCCGGAAUGCUAACAGUGAUGACCACGGUGCUGAAUCCAGCCCAGAUCAUGCCCUGUCAAUAUGGAGAAGAGCUCUCUGUCGCUCAAGUACAAAGAGUGCCCAAACCCCAGAGCACAGAUAAUUGGCACAUCCAUCACCUGCCUCCUAAGUGCUUGGCACAUGCUGAGAAAUCUACUCAGUUGGCUGGAGGACCCGGCUCUGUACUACUGCGAGGGGAGAGGACCAUAGUACCAUGGCUGUGGAACUAUCCCCUUGAUCCGCAGUCCCUCACUGGUUCUUAUCUGAACCUCCCAGUUAGGGACAGAAAGCCUGAGUCUCUCAGCUCAGCAGAAAGCUUUCUAUACAAUUAAAGUGGUCAGAAGGCGGUAUGUGCCCUUCCUUCCUGCCUUAGGUUCUACUAUGAGCAGUCUUACCCAGGAAGCACAUGGAUUUCUUUGUUCUGUCUUCUCUUCCCUCAGUCUCUACCCUGGGCUCAGCCAAAAUCCCCCCAAAACAUAUUUUAUACAGCUGCUCAUGUUUUCACACCCCGAGGCAGUACAAAUAUAGCUUAUCAUGGCCUCAGCCUAAAUUGGUCAGGCCACUGGAACUCUCAGGCAACCUGGGGUCUGUGGAGAGCCUUUAGGCAUAAACUUUUCAGCACCUGCAAUUCCCACCUCGCUAAGUGGCUGUCUCUUGGGACACUCUCGGACACAAUCCGCAGUCUGUGGCUGACACUGCCACGGGAGAGUCCUGGGACUCGAAGGGGGUUGGGGAGGUGGUGGCAGGGAGCAUGUGUACAUUGAGCCCGGGAAGCCCACUGGAUUUUCACAGCAAACACCUCCAUAUGGCACUAGUGAAGGCUACAAAGCAGGAAGGUUACCAACACCUGCCAGCAAGUGGUAAUUUCCUGGGUGCUGGGGAAGAAAAACUGCAAGCCAAAACUCCAACUAGAAAACAUCAAGCAGGUCUUCAGGGAUGAUGUGCACCAGCAUUUCAGACCACACAAUGCCAUGGUCCAAAGGCAUCACUGCAUUGCCUGAUGUUAGUUUUUCCUUCUCUGACUCAUGAGACCCUUGAGGGUCUUAUAGCAAUGGAAAGAACUUGCAUUAAGCUGAGAGCCAUUUAUGAGUCCACGAAGUCUCCUCCGAAAGGAGAAAUGUUUAGAUUAAAUGCAAUUCAUCUCCAAAAUAAGAAUGACCAAAGGUAAAUUUGUGAUUCCUUACUAGUUAAGUGAAAUCACUUGUAAUGUGUUAAAAUGGAUAGCUUAGAAGAAAAAAUGUCCACGUCUACUCCAUAGGUGGACUAGGUUGCUGCAAUACAGAAUUUAAAUUUUACCUGCAGCACUUUCCCUCAAAAAAGUUGUAACUGGGAAGGCGUCUGGGUUGCUCAGUCGUUGAAGCAUCCGACUCUUGAUUUUGUGUCAGGUCAUGUUCUCACAGUGUGUGACUCUGAGCCCUGCAUCAGGCUCUGCAAUCAUAGUGUGGAGCCUGCUUGGGAUUCUCUCUCCCUGUCUCUCUGCCCCUUGCUUGCUCAUGCUGUCUCUUUCUCUCUCCCUCUCCCUCAAAAAUAAAUAAAUAAACAUUUAAAAAAAAAAAAAAAAGCUGUAGCUGGUAGCACUUCACUACUCUGACCUUUUAACACGGAAUGAUUUAAAUAAUGAAUUUCUAGCCAUCUUUUGUUUCCUUCUACUUUUUUUAGGCUCCUCAAAUCAGAAUUACUAUAUAGCCAAUUGACAGAACAAUUUUUGGUAAGAACAUUUAGUUCAUUUAGUUGUUGAGUAAUUAUAGUGAUGUGGUGAUUUAAUGUUACAGCUCUUAAAUUUAACUUACCAAAAAGAUUCCAAAUAAUUGAUGUAAGAUGCAGGGAAAUAAAAAGCACUUAUCUUGGAAGCCGGUGUAUUAUCCUGAAGAUCUGAAACAAGUACACUACACCCCUGGUGAACAGAUUCCCAUGGUGCUCUCACACCUUUCCUUUUCUUUUUAAUGUCUAUUUAUUUUGAGAGAGAGACAGAGCACGAGCAGGGGAGGGGCAGAGAGAGGGAGACACAGAAUCCAAGGCAGGCCCCAGGCUCUUGGGGCCGAUACGCAGCUCGAACUCAUGAGCCGUGAGAUCAUAUAACCUGAGCCGAAGUCAGACGCUCAAAUGACUGAGCCAGCCAGGUGCCCCUCUCACACCUUUCCUUAACGGAGGACACUCUGAAUCAGAAAACCUGAACUAUCUCUGGGGAAACCUGGCUGUUCAGACUAAAAACAAAGUGGUGUUUGGAGGACAAAUCCCAGUAGCUGCAGUAUAAUUAAUUGCUGGUGAAAUUAUUACCUUUAAAUUGUCUGUGAGCUAGAGGUGCAGGUGAACAGCACUUAUUCUGUGAUCAGGAGACUUGUAAUUGGAAAAUGGCCCAUCAACUCUUCACCCACAUCAACUAUCUUGAUACUACAGAAAGGUGGCUUUCUCUUUUGCUUCACUGGAACUACUUAGCCAAUGGAAGGUGAGGUCUCAGUUUUGGUGUAUGGACCACACACUAAUUCAAAAGAUUAUCAAGGUGUUUGCUUAAAGGGAAAGUUAAGACCAAUGUUGUGUCUGCAAAAGGUAAGCAUGUCUAAGCUGUACUGAUUACGUAGGACCCAAAUUUACCUCACCUCUGUUAAGGCUGACCUACUUGUAAGGAAGAGAAUCAUGACUGCUUGUGUUUGAAAUGGUUAAAGUGGUAGAAAGUUGCCUUUGUGUAAACAGAUCUUUUAGGAUAAGGAAGGAACUAUCUGGACAAGGUCAAGAUUUGUUUUUGCAGACCUAAAUUCCCAAAUUAAUUGAGCUCCCAGCGUAUUAACUGCAAGGCUAACCCUUGUUUAAUGUGAAACAUUCCUUCCUUUUAAACUAGUAAUAUUUCAAGAUUGUAGGCUGGACCAGAAGUGGAAUAAUUUUCAUGGAUAAGGAUUUCCCCCCACAAAAGCAGCCACUCUUCACUCCUGCACACCUUCAUCUUCUACCAUCUGGAACCAAACCAUAUGAACCUCCUCAAAUACAAAGUGUGAACUCUGGCAAGCUACUCCCAAUUCCCAUCUGUCUGGAUUGUGUGAGUCUGGGGUUACUGGCUGCUUUUAGGAGAAGAUAAUCUUCAAGGAUUACACACCUUUCAUCAGACACCUGUUUAGCUCAGCAAACCUUGCUGAAAGGUUCAUUAUCAGUAGACAGCACUGGGUUUGCAAGCCUGGGAACUGACACCAGGCCAGGGAUUUAUGGCAGGUCUUGAGCAGAGGCAAUCAGAUGGCUCUAACCAUGUAUCUCAUGAUUAAGGAUGGAAAUUCACUGGUCUGUGUCAUCUGUUACUGGUUUCUAGGGUUAAGCAGCCCUGUGACCAAGUGGAUGAAUGGCGUGUUAUCAGUUUAAAUAGUGAUAAAGAACCUGCUGAAAUUUUGUGAUGAUUUUGCAAUUAGUAAAAAAGGAAACUGAACCUUACUCUUCCUACUGUUUUCAGAGAACUAGAGUGCUCCAGAUGACCUGUGACCUGCCUGAUUCCUUACUACUUUCCAUUUAUUUUUUUAUUUUUUAUUUAAAAAAAUUUUUUUUUAACAUUUAUUUAUUUUUGAGACAGAGAGAGACAGAGCAUGAACGGGGGAGGGUCAGAGAGAGGGAGACACAGAAUCUGAAACAGGCUCAAGGCUCUAAGCUGUCAGCACAGAGCCCGACGCGGGGCUCGAACUCACGGACCGUGAGAUCAUGACCUGAGCCGAAGUCGGCUGCUUAACCGACUGAGCCACCCAGGCACCCAUCCAUUUAUUAAAAGAUAUAGAUGCCUCCCUAGCAAAAAUGGAAAUUUUGAAUUUUUGAGAUAUUUUAUACUUUAAGAGGUUGGUUUUGAAAAUGUGAAUGUUUAAGACAUUUCUCUCACAAUUCUAUGGGCUUGAAGUAAUUAAUUACGUAACAACUUAGAGUAAAUAUUGCUUGACUUUUCCACAGACUUCUCAGUCUACUUCUUAUAGAAGUCCCCCAGACUGGCAGUAUCAGCAUCACCCGGUAACUUGUUAAAAUCACAAAUUCUUAGACCUACGAACCAGAAACACUGUGGGAAGGCCCCAGCACUUCCGUUUCAAUAAGCCCUCCAGGUGGUUAUGAUGCACACAAAUUUGAGGACCACUGCUAUAAAUUCUGCUAUGGAGCUGCUAGUUUUGAUGAGGAUGUUAAAACCAUCGUAUGCAAUAGGAGAGCCACUGGAUGGGAGGACUAAACAAUCUCAGCUUGGCGAGGAGACCUUCCUCACCCAGCAACUUGGUGGUAGAGAAGUGGGUCCAGGAAUCUCCAAAGCCCCACCAGACUGAUAUUUAGCAAGAGAUCACUGAGUUGCUGAGUGGCUUUUUUCAUAAAUUCUAUGCCUGUGCUUCUCAACCUUCAUUAUACAGUCACCUCUCAUUACAACUCGAUUCUGAUUCAGUAGGCCGGAGACCCUACAUUUCUAACAAGUUCCUAUACUAUGGGCCACACUUGCAUUCCAAGGGUUUAUAUGUUAAAUCAGUGGUUCUCAAAGUUUUUGGUUUCUAGACCUCUUUACAUUAAAAAAAAAAAUUAUUUAAGAGCUUCUGUUUAUAAGAGCCGUUAUCUAUUAAUUUUUUAGAGAAAUUUGACAAAUACUCAUUAAUUAAGAACCAAUAAACCCAUUAAGGGUUAACAUAUUUUUUACGAAAAAAUAUUGUCUAAAAUUAAAAAAAAUAGUGAGGAGACUGGCACUGUUUCAUAUUUUUCCAAAUCUCUUCAAUGUCUGGCUUAAGAGAGAAGCUACGUUCUCAUAUUUGCUUUGGUACUCAAUCUGUUGUGAUUAUCACAGGUCAUGAAAGUUCUUGAAAAUGCCAAUGUACAUUCAUAAGAGUGAAAUGGACAAGUAGUACUUUAGUAUUACUUUGAAAAUAGUUAUGACCUUGUAGAGUCCCUAAAAGGGCCUUAGGGAUCCCCGGAUCAUACUUUGAGACUAUCCGCUUUACAUAAAAACUGACAAGAAUUUUUAAAAGUUGGGCGCCAAGGCCACAGGUAUUUUAAAACAAUACGGCAUUUACUAAAUAAAGUAUGGCAGGUCAUAAGAGGCACUACAGGUUGGUUAAGAGCAAGGGUGCUAGAGCCAGACUGCCUGGAAUGGAAUCCAGGGUCUACUAUGUACCAACUACGUGACGUUGGCUGGGCAAGUUAUUUAAUCUCUCUGUGUUUCAGGUCCCUCACCAAUAAAAUUUGGAGAAUAAUCAUACCUAUCUCUUAGGGUUAUAGUAAGAAUUAAACGAAUAAGCACAAAGGAUGCAGAACCAUGCUUGGCAUGUUACUGAAACACAACAUAGGUGUUAGCUAUUAUCAUUGUUCAACAUAGUAAAUGAAUGAAAUUUCAAGGUGAUCGUUUGGGUGACCAGGUAUACUUCAUGUAGGGGAAAGGAAACGUGGACAAAAGGAAGAAGACUGACUGCUCUAUAGGGUCAGAUUAAGAAGAGCUUUUCUUACUUUUCCCUUAGGCAUCUGAAAAUCAUUCCAUUUACUCCAGUGCCUCAGACAAAAGUUCUCCUCCCCCUACCCCCCAGCUAACCACCCAAAUAUAAAUUUAAUUAAAGAAAGAAGCCAUGAAAAAACCCCCACAUAUUCUGCCUCAAUAAUGAUCUUAAGAAAGUGGCGACUGCAGUUCACAGCAAGAAUA